GUGAGGAAUAUUGGUCAAUGGGCGAGAGCCUGAACCAGCCAAGUCGCGUGAAGGAAGAAGGAUCUAUGGUUCGUAAACUUCUUUUGCAGGGGAAUAAAGUGCAGGACGUGUCCUGUUUUGUAUGUACCCUGAGAAUAAGGAUCGGCUAACUCCGUGCCAGCAGCCGCGGUAAUACGGAGGAUCCGAGCGUUAUCCGGAUUUAUUGGGUUUAAAGGGUGCGUAGGUGGUUUAAUAAGUCAGCGGUGAAAGUUUGCAGCUUAACUGUAAAAAUGCCGUUGAAACUGUCGGACUUGAGUGUAAAUGAGGUAGGCGGAAUGCGUGGUGUAGCGGUGAAAUGCAUAGAUAUCACGCAGAACUCCGAUUGCGAAGGCAGCUUACUAAGCUACAACUGACACUGAAGCACGAAAGCGUGGGGAUCAAACAGGAUUAGAAACCCUAGUAGUCC
rnacentral:rRNA from 1 species